UGGCGGCGAGUGGCGAACGGGUGAGUAAUAUAUCGGAACGUACCCAAGAGUGGGGGAUAACGUAGCGAAAGUUACGCUAAUACCGCAUACGAUCCAAGGAUGAAAGUGGGGGAUCGCAAGACCUCAUGCUCCUGGAGCGGCCGAUAUCUGAUUAGCUAGUUGGUGAGGUAAAGGCUCACCAAGGCGACGAUCAGUAGCUGGUCUGAGAGGACGACCAGCCACACUGGAACUGAGACACGGUCCAGACUCC
rnacentral:rRNA from 1 species